CCAGUAAGGGAAGAACCUGAUACUCCUGCACAAUCUCAUCCACAAUUUGAAAGAUUCAGAUGCUCAACAUGCUUCAGUUUUCUCAUCCCAAUAGGUAGUUGGGUCCUUCCUUGGUUGGUGCGUGACAAAGAAGAAGUAACUGAAGAUGCACCAAAAACUAAGGUUCCACCCCCAGAAGAAGUUCCCC